GAGUGUGUGCGUGCGUGUUUGCAAGCUUUGAGCUAAGUUGACAUGUUUUCAUGAGCUCUGCAUAUUGGAGCCGUUCUUAUCACAAAAUACAUUUAUGAUAAGAAUCUUGCACAUGCAAUAAAAACACAUAAUAAUAAACCUCAUUACAAAGCACCUUUGAAAUCCCAGGCACAAGUUGCCUGUUAAGUAAAGAAUGAAAAAUGUAAGGAAAGGAUAGGAAAAAAUCUAGAUCAGACAUUUGUGUUAAGGAUAUGGAGAUCUGUUUUAUUAAGAUUAAGAUGCAUUUAUUAGUCCUAAACACAUACACAGACAUGCAAAGGCACACUCAUGCAGGUAGGGUUAGGGUUAGUUUUAGUUGUUCAGACCAUAAUCACCAUAUGGUCCAAAGCGACAUAAAUUUACCAUUGACAUAUGGACCUCAGACGUCAGUCCAGUUAGUAUGCUUGGUUUUGACCACUUGGUGGCUGGAUGAUGAUUUUGUAGCCGAUGGUUUACUUAAUUUAUACUGCGAGGCAUUAGUCUGUGGGUGAACCAGAACAGCAUGCUUUUUUAUUUAUUCUUUAAUCCUCAACUCCUCUCUUCACAACAGAAACACUUCCGUUAGUGGCCGUUCACAAGAAGAAUCCCAACAGACAAACCGCUUAUGACAGGAAACACAAAUCAAUCUUCCACAAUAAAGAAAACUAAAUAAAAUAGCUUACAAUUUCAAUAUAAAACCGACAUUGUUGAAUGAACUCACACACAGCAGCUCUAUAAAAGCCUUCAAGGAGAUAAGAGAUUAAGAUGCACUUUACUUUUAGUUUCAACUCGUGUUUAAUAACUCGUGUUCAAUAGUUGACAUUUCUGUGCAGGGAUAUUGUCAGUGCAUUUAAUUACUAACCCCUAUGUCGUUGGGGUGAGUGGGUGAACCUUUCUGAUGAACUAUCCUUUUAACAGUAUGGUUUCAAAACGAUGACACAAUAUUUUUUGGGACAAUAUAGAGCCAACUAGGGCUUAAUUUAACUAACCAGAAAAUAACUUUUUUGCACAUUUGCACAUUUGGUGUGUAUAAUGUACAUAUUCAGUAUUUCUUUUAUUAAAUUGUAAAAAAUUUAAAUUAAAUUUCUUUAUUCUCUUGUGCUCAAUCGUGCCAACUGCUGUAACAACUGAAUUUACUCUAUGUGGAUCAAAAAAGUUGUAUCUUAUCUUAACUUAAAUCGGGGCCACUGCAAUGGGGCAGAUUACUACUGGUCAACAAGUGACUCUGCUCCUCUGUUUUCGAAUCACUCAAACGUAGAACUGAUCUUGGCUAAGCAGGUGUCGCUUCUUCAGCAACAAUGAAUUUAAAACACUACGUUACGUCGUAAUCUGUGAGGAAAAACUGUCUGCAGGAGUGUGACUGCGCUUGUCUCUGUCCCUCUUCAGUCACAAACAGAUAUUCACAUGGAAUAUUCACCAUCUAGUCCUAAAUUCUAAAAUAGUUAUUAAUUGAUGAUUUCGGAUCAUGAUUUCAAAUCAUUCCUGUCACUUUAACCCGGAUAUCCUGACUGUGCUGAAUUAAACAACACAAAGUAAAUAUCCGUCCUGUACGUGUCCUUAUAAGUUUUGAUCAAUGAUGUUGUUUAUUGUUAAAGGGGACAUAUUAUGAAAAUUCCACUUUUGUAGUGCUUCUACACAUUAUUUUGGGUAUCUGGCAUGUCUACCGUUCCAAAAACUCUGGAAAAAAACAACUCCCGCGAUUUGUUGUGGUUCCUCUAUUUCAGAAACUAUGUGCUUGAGUGCAUCCAAUUACGACCGAAAUAGACGUCAUAGUCGCAACAUGCCCAUUUAGUACAUUCCCCCAUAGCUCUAUGCACUCCCCCACUACCACUCGACCCAUCCCUAGAUGGACCCUCCUACUUUAUAGACAGUCGGUCCAUCAUUGUCCAGCCGCCAUUUCAUUCUUGCAAGCCUUGGAAACACUUGGAUAAGCUAAUUAGCAGCAUGAAUCGGUUGUUGGCUGCAAACAUGUCUCCAUGUGACUCCAGCUUCAGAAGACACAAGAUUGAGAUGGAUUGAGUUCAUAUAUGAUGGCAACGUUCCUGCCACCACUUUGAAUCGGACUGUUGUAUCAACCUGGGCCAAUAUAACAACGGAUUCUUGAAAAGGUUGUUAUUGAAAGAGGGGUCGGUGCCAUAUUUCCAUCGCAAUAGUGAAGACGAGGGAAAUGCACACAGACAAUUGUGCUGCACUGAUGUCGGUGUUGGGACCUCAGCUGUAAGAGACCUCGCUUGGAGGAAGGAGAGGACAACCCAAGUUGUUGCAGUAUGGACUUCGGAGAGCCACAGGCUGCUACCUAUGAUCCUGAUGACUUGAUCACAGUCUUGACUGAGUCAGCAGAUGUGACAUAACGUGGAUAACCUGUUGGACCUCAUCUUUCAUGAGGUUUUUCAGACCCGGCCCCAUAUGUGAAUGAGGUGCUGAAGAUCUCAAAACCUGAGGAUCUCUCUGCCAAGUAUGGCCUCAACACCAGCUAACAAAGCUUCUGUACGCCAAAUACCUGUAACGGCUGAGCAAAGUUUACAUUGUAUUUAGAGAAUAAAAGGUGACACACAAAUAUAAAGUGUUCCUUUGUUCACAGUAUGGCUACUGAUGGCACAAAGUGUAUUUUUGUAAUCAUUGUUUUUAUUAUACUUGGUAUUUGUUGUAUUUAUUACCUCUGUCCCAGCCAAUACAUUUAAUAACUAUUUUUAAAAAGCUCUGGCAUCUUUCUGACAAUAAAAAUUUAUAGAAGCUGUUCUGUGCUUUUAAUGUUUGAUAUGUAACAUGUCAACAAUUGACACGUGUAAGAUGAUCAG